AAUAGAUACCCGGGUAGUCCAUGCCGUAAACGUUGGGCACUAGGUGUGGGGCUCAUUCCACGAGUUCCGUGCCGCAGCAAACGCAUUAAGUGCCCCGCCUGGGGAGUACGGCCGCAAGGCUAAAACUCAAAGGGAAUUGACGGGGGCCCGCACAAGCGGCGGAGCAUGCGGAUUAAUUCGAUGCAACGCGAAGAACCUUACCAAGGCUUGACAUGCACGGGAAGCCACCAGAGAUGGUGGUCUCUUUGGACACUCGUGCACAGGUGGUGCAUGGUUGUCGUCAGCUCGUGUCGUGAGAUGUUGGGUUAAGUCCCGCAACGAGCGCAACCCUGUCCCAUGUUGCCAGCGGGUUAUGCCGGGGACUCAUGGGAGACUGCCGGGGUCAACUCGGAGGAAGGUGGGGAUGACGUCAAAGUCAGUCAUGCCCCUUAUGUCUUGGGCUUCACGCAUGCUACAAUGGCCGGUACAAAGGGCUGCGAUGCCGUAAGGUGGAGCGAAUCCCGAAAAAGCCGGUCUCAGUUCGGAUUGGGGUCG
rnacentral:rRNA from 1 species